UGACGCAUAAUGAAACUGAACGGACAUACAUAAACAGGAAAAAUGUAGAAAUUCAAAUUCAAAUUCAAGAGAGUAAGGAAUUCUCCAACAAACAUAAUUCAGGUUUAUCACUUCAUAUCUAACAACACUAUCUGCAAUAUUUACCUAUGACAUCACCUUCAUUCUUGCGGCUAUAAUCGGCAUCUACAUCACAAAUUUUCACUAUCUGAACAUAUUACUCUUCUGCAAUUUUGCUUUCCUCUCCUGGUUCUUUGAAGAUAUCUACGGGGAAUUUCAGAGGCUUCUCUGGCCAUUCUUGGAAGAACGAAUUCAUCACCUUGAACUUAAUAACCUGCAACAUAUGUCUCUUAUCUCUUCUAAUAUCAGAACUCAAAAUGUUGGUUAAUGGAGCCGUCAUCUACCACUCUCUGCCUCUUAGUUAACUGAUUGUUUUGACCAUGCAAAUUUUUUGAAUAAUGAUUUACAGGCCUUUGUCUCUUAGAAAACCGGUCUUUUUGAAGGAAUCUUCCCUGUUCAUUAAAACCGGGUUGAAGCCUUUCCCUCUUAUUGAAUAUCCUUUUAUUUUCUCUUCCAUCUGCUUGUUGCUCAGAAUCUGACAAAUAGCAAGAUGGUAUUUUUGCAACUUCAAGACCCAAUUCAGUUUGUUUUGCCAAUUUCUCCUUGAGUUGCUUCAAGAAAGUUGGCAUACAUAGUCAAGUUCUACAUUGGAAAACAAGAAUAUCUCAGAAGUAACAAAGGUUUUCAGAUAUCCUGUUGAACAUAUUGAGAGAUUGGUGUUUCGUAGACAACAGAUAAAAAUGACAUCAAUAUAGGACAUAUGUAGUGAAAAUGGACAGUAGUAUCAAGCAUAUAAACCUGUAUGCACCAUAUAUAAUGCCAGUUCAUGUCAAGUAAGUGGCAAAUAUCCAUGAGACCAGUAUGAGGAAAUAAAUGUCAUCGAUACCGAGGGGACUUGUGUGCAGUAANUAUGAAUAC
rnacentral:lncRNA from 1 species